rnacentral:rRNA from 1 species
AUGCAGGCGUCUGUAGCGGCUACUGCCGCUCAUACCGCGGAGGUUUCUGGACUGAAUCAAAGUCUGGAGCGGGCCGAAGCGGAGCUUGGCCGGUUAAAAAGGCAGUUGGAAGAUCAACAAGUUUUGCACAAAUCUUGUUUGCAUUUAGUGCGAACGAAUUUUCAGUAUGAUAGAAUAUGUGUCAUGAUUUGUGCCAGGGGUGAUGACCGAAGUCGAGGCUCUGAAGAAGGUUGUUGCCAAGCUGAGGAAAAGGCAGCCGCAGAGCAGGCUCUUCGUGAGAAGCACGAGGCCAAGGUUGUGGAAGCUAAGCGAGAGCUCUAA